CAUGAAGCUGGAAUCGCUAGUAAUCGCGAAUCAGAAUGUCGCGGUGAAUACGUUCCCGGGCCUUGUACACACCGCCCGUCACACCAUGGGAGCCGGUAAUGCCCGAAGUCAGUAGCCUAACCGCAAGGAGGGCGCUGCCGAAGGUAGGAUUGGCGACUGGGGUGAAGUCGUAACAAGGUACC
rnacentral:rRNA from 1 species